rnacentral:lncRNA from 1 species
GUGUAGGUUGCAGACGCGGCUCGGGUCCUGCGUUGCUGUGGCUCUGGCGUAGGCCGGUGGCUAUGGCUCUGAUUAGACCCCUAGCCUGGGAACCUCCAUAUGCUGCAGGAGCGGCCCAAGAAAUAGCAAAAAAAUAAAAAUAAAAUAAAAGCCUUGUUCUUAAAAAAUAAAUAAAUAAAUAAAUAAAAACAAAGUCUAUUUCUUUAAAAAAAAAUCAUACUGAAUUGCUUGAGACUGAAUGAUUACCCCCAAGAUCAAGAAAAAGGCAAGAAUGUCUGCUCCCACCGCUCUUACAUAACACAGUUCUGUAGACCUCUCUCUGUUUGCAAACGACACGACUGUGCAUGAUAAAAAACCUCAAGGAAUUUACAAAAAGCUCCUAGAACCCCUAAGUGAGUGCAGCCAAAUCACAAGAUAGAAGAUCAACAUUUAAAAAAGCAAACUCAAGUUCCCUUCGCAGCUCAGUGAGUUAAGAACCCAAUUAGUAACCAUGAGGACGCAGGUUCCAUCCCUGGCCUCACUCAGGGGUUAAGGACCCAGUGUUGCCACGAGCUGUGGCGUAGGUCGCCGAAGCAGCUUGGAUGCCAAAUUGCUAUGGUUGUAGCGUAGGCCAGAAGCUGCAGCUCCAAUUUGACCCCUUGCCUGGGAACUUCCAUACACCGUGAGUACAGCCCUUAAAAAAAAAAAAAAAAAAGAAAGAAAAUAGGCAAAAGACACAAACAGAUUAUUUCACAGGAGAAAAUACAUAGACAGCAAAUAAGCACAUGAACAGGUUUCAACAUCAUUAGCCAACAGGGAAAACAAAUUAAAACCACGACACAUCUAUCAGAACAGCUGAAAUAAAACAGCGAUAACACCAAAUGCUAAUCAGGAGGGGGAGGAAGUGACUCACUCAUUCUUUGCUGGUGAGAAUGUAACUUGGUACAGCCACUCGGGAAACAAUUUGGUAAUUUCUUACAAAACCAAUCACUUACCACACAACCCAAUAACUGCACGCUUGGGCAUUUAUCCCAGUGAAAUGAAAACACACAUUCACACAAAAACCCAUACGCAGAGGUUCAUAACGCCUUUAUUCAAGAUAGCAAGAAAAAACGGCAACAACCGAAUGUGCUUCAACGGGAGCGUAGUUGUUACGCCGCAGUGUUUCCAUACCGUGCACCACUCCGCAGCAAUAAAAAGCAACCAACUGGUAAUGCACGCAACUACCUGGAUGGAUCUAAUGAAGAAGCCAGUAUCAGAAGGUUGCAUACUGAAUUAUUCCUUUUUUGUUCAUUUAUUUAUUGGCUUUUUUACAUUACAUUACUAGUCGGAUUCGUUUCUGCUGUGCCACAAAAGGAACUCCAGCCUACCUCAAUUUUGAGACUAAAACUCAUCCUCUCAUCUGUUCUACCUGCUCGAUAUUAAAGUCUACACAAAGUCCACCAGUUCUGGAAAACCUCCACUACGGCCACAGACAUUCAGAGCUCCUUCGAGAGAGAAGGCGGCACAAAACAGAGCUGGGCUCACGGGCAGAGGGUGGGACCUUGGACCAGCACCGGACGGCCUGCAGGUUAACAACACCUGCUGACCCACCUGCAUGGACAGCUGCUGCCCACCUGGGAAACAGCACCUCCCAGCUGCCGUCACUGGUACUAUUCCUAUUUUACUAUUCCAAAAUAAAAACACACUCAAGCUCCAAAUCUCAGCAGAAGUGGCAGAAUAGUUCCAGCUUUAUAGAAGAGAAGAGGAAAUAAUGUAUUCCAUACAAAUAAAUGUGUAACUUUUAAGAACCGAAUAUCAGAAUGAAAUAAAAUUGGUUAUUUCUAAAAUAUCAGCAAAUGAUCUGUUAAUUACAAAUGUUUCUACUUCAUAUAUCUAUCUUUAUCUAUCGUAAAUCAUCAUAUACAUGAUUUUUUUCAAGAUUCUUAUCAUACGGUGUUCACAGUGUCACGGCACAUCGGAAAUGAAUCCGACGAGGAACUUUGAGGUUGUGGGUUCUAUCCCUGGCCUCGCUCAGUAGGUUAAGGAUCCUGCAUUGCCGUGGCUGUGGCAUAGGCUGGCAGCUGUAGCUCCAAUUAGACCCCUAGCCUGGGAACCUCCAUAUGCUGCAGGUGCAGUCCUAAAAAAUAAUAAUAAUAAUAUUGUGAAAAACGGUCUUUCAAACAUAAAAAAUAACAGUAAGCCAUUAUUAAAACACACCAAGGAGUUCCCACUGUGGCACAGAGGAAACGAAUCCGACUAGGAACCAUGAGGUUGCAGGUUCGAUCCCUGGCCUUGCUCAGUGGGUUAAGGAUCCGGCAUUGCCGUGAGGUGUGGUGUAGGUCACAGAUGCGGCUAGGAUCUGGUGCUGCUGUGGCUGUGGUGUAGGCCAGCAGUUGGAGCUCCAAUUAGACCCCUACCUGGGAACCGACGUGGAGAACUGCUUCCGGGCAACCGCAGUCUCUCAUCACUAACAAAACAAAAUCAACACACAACCAGCAACGGCAAACCAGAGAACCCAGCCCGAGGAAUGCCAAGAGCUGAAAAACAGAGGACGGCAGAAGGCCGCCUGCCCUGAGAUGCCUGGAAAACGCAGCAUGGCUCCACCCUAGAGAAGAGGCUCAGACACCCUCCAGCAGACCCCAGAGCAGAAAGAAGGUGGCUCUGUGACCGAGGGGUCUGGGAAAGGCCAAACAAGAGCCUGGGGGGACAAGGGAUUAAUGCCAAGAACAGUUCAGACACCCAAAGCUCUCGCAUUGUCGCUGCUUGGGCUCUGGUUACUGCACCGGUGCAGGUCCAAUCCCUGGCCCAGUAACUCACGCAGGCCGUGGUUUCUCUGUAACUGGGGAGGAGAAGCACAGGGCCGUCCCCCUCACGCCAGUGUUCUUUUCUGCCCUUUGGUUGUCCUAUGCCACAACCUGACUGGCACUGGGAUUCUUUAUAUUGUCCCACUCCUCCUAGCCACCCAAGAAAUCAACUCUAUCCAUCAACUACUACGCUUUGAAAACUACUGAUCUGCCUAUGGUGACAACAUGAAACAAAAACAUAUCUAAUUACAAAUGAAAUAUGAACCGCAUAUGGUCACAGGCAAAAAGAAACAAAAAAAAAAAACUAAGACAAAAUCUUCGGUGGUAUAAAAUUUUUUCUUUGGUUAACUUUUAAUCUCUUCUUCUUCUUAAACUGGAUACUACUCACACAUGGUAAAGACAGGAAAUUACAGGAGUUCCCGUCGUGGCGCAGUGGUUAACGAAUCCGACUAGGAACCAUGAGGUUGCGG